rnacentral:rRNA from 1 species
CGGUCAGGUGGUUGGUCGUGCCACCGGUACGUACUGGUCUCACUGAUUCCUCCUUCCUGAAGAACCGUAAUGCCAUUAAUUUGGUGUUGCGGGGAAACAGGACUGUUACUUUGAAAAAAUUAGAGUGUUUAAAGCAAGCUAACGCUUGAAUACAUUAGCAUGGAAUAAUGAAAUAGGACGAUCGAUCCUAUUUUGUUGGUUUCUAGGAUUGACGUA